AGCGGGUAAGCGAUUGAACGCGCGACAUCAACCUUGGCAAGGUUGCGCUCUACCACUGAGCUAUACCCGC
rnacentral:tRNA from 1 species